rnacentral:rRNA from 1 species
GACAGAGGUGCCGAGCGUUAGGCGGAAUCACUGGGCUUAAAGCGUGUGUAGGCGGACCGUUAAGUACCUUGUGAAAUCCCCCGGCUCAACCGGGGAACGGCUGGGUAUACUGGCGGUCUUGAGCCAUCCAGGGGCAGUCGGAACAGACGGUGGAGCGGUGAAAUGCGUAGAUAUCGUCUGGAACGCCAAAGGUGAAAACAGUCUGCUGGGGACUUGCUGACGCUGAGACACGAAAGCCAGGGGAGCGAACGGG